AGUGAACGCUGGCGGUAGGCCUAACACAUGCAAGUCGAACGGCAGCACAGGAGAGCUUGCUCUCUGGGUGGCGAGUGGCGGACGGGUGAGGAAUACAUCGGAAUCUACUCUGUCGUGGGGGAUAACGUAGGGAAACUUACGCUAAUACCGCAUACGACCUACGGGUGAAAGCAGGGGACCUUCGGGCCUUGCGCGAUUGAAUGAGCCGAUGUUGGAUUAGCUAGUUGGCGGGGUAAAGGCCCACCAAGGCGACGAUCCGUAGCUGGUCUGAGAGGAUGAGCAGCCACACUGGAACUGAGACACGGUCCAGACUCCUACGGGAGGCGGCAGUGGGGAAUAUUGGACAAUGGGCGCAAGCCUGAUCCAGCCAUACCGCGUGGGUGAAGAAGGCCUUCGGGUUGUAAAGCCCUUUUGUUGGGAAAGAAAUCCAGCUGGCUAAUACCCGGUUGGGAUGACGGUACCCAAAGAAUAAGCACCGGCUAACUUCGUGCCAGCCGCCGCAGUAA
rnacentral:rRNA from 1 species